rnacentral:rRNA from 1 species
AUUGAACGCUGGCGGCAGGCUUAACACAUGCAAGUCGAGCGGGGUGAUGGUGCUUGCACUAUCACUUAGCGGCGGACGGGUGAGUAAUGCUUAGGAAUCUGCCUAUUAGUGGGGGACAACAUCUCGAAAGGGAUGCUAAUACCGCAUACGUCCUACGGGAGAAAGCAGGGGAUCACUUGUGACCUUGCGCUAAUAGAUGAGCCUAAGUCGGAUUAGCUAGUUGGUGGGGUAAAGGCCUACCAAGGCGACGAUCUGUAGCGGGUCUGAGAGGAUGAUCCGCCACACUGGGACUGAGACACGGCCCAGACUCCUACGGGAGUCAGCAGUGGGGAAUAUUGGACAAUGGGGGAACCCUGAUCCAGCCAUGCCGCGUGUGUGAAGAAGGCCUUAUGGUUGUAAAGCACUUUAAGCGAGGAGGAGGCUCUUUUGGUUAAUACCCAAGAUGAGUGGACGUUACUCGCAGAAUAAGCACCGGCUAACUCUGUGCCAGCCGCCGCUGUAA